UGCUCUGACAUGUCAUCUCUUGAUGUCUUCCCUUGGGCACCACCAUCAAUAUCCCUCCUUUUGCAAUCUGGCAGGUAGUUCCCCAGCAGGGAUGUCCUCCCGUUCGUUCUGUAGGCACAGGGUUGUGUUUUCUGCUGUUUUGUGUUUAUGAAAAGCAAGUUAUUAGCUGACAACUUGCUGCUCUUCUCCUUAACAUAGAGAUAAAAGCUGGUUUUCCCCUUGAGUGCCUUAGUUGUUGUUAGGAUCUGGCAGGUAUGUGCCCCUUCGGUGUAAUGCAUCGUGUCAUCAAACUUCUGUUUCAAGUGCCAGUCCCUCUGGUGGGGCAGCUAUCUUCUGCAAGGGUGGGAGGAGAUGUUAGAAACUUUCUGGGCCAUAGGCUUAUGAAUACUUGGUUUCAAGCAAGACAUUGAAAUUUGUUGCCUUUAGCCCUGUCUGGGCAGCUGGCUGCUGUGGGCUGUGUUUGCCCUCACCCCUCAGCUGAGCAGGUGGCCAUCCCCGCUGCUUCUGGUCUUCUUGAAACCAGCUUUGCUGCCUUGCUUUGGCUGCCAGGACAGCUGCAGCAAGGAUGUUCCCAAGCAGCACGUCUGACACGGACCGCUCCAGAUCCAGGCUCUCUAGAGAGCAGGGAUGGUCCUGGCCAGCUGGGUGGUGGAGAGAAGGGACUGUCCUUCCUGGAGGGGGAGGAUGCUGGGGAGGGGCUGGCACACAGCCCCUGGCUUAUCUGGCUGUCGAGUUCUGCCACUUUCAUUUGUUCGUGUUGAAACGCACUAUUUAUAAACUUGCUUUUUCUGGCGAAACUCCCAGCCCUGUGGGGGAACUGUGUGAAUCCCUCCAGCCUGCGCUGUGUUGCAGGAUGGCUGCUCUGGUGCCAUGCCCAGAACUUCAGCUGGGGGCUCUUUGCCGACCUUCUUCUCUGCCCUGGCCUUAGGGAGCUGCUUGCUGGUACCGGCAGAUGCGUUAACACCGGCAGUGGUCCUGGCAGCGUGUGCGUCGGGGUGUGUGCCUGCGACAUCACCGAGUCCUGCAGCAGAACGUGGUCCCCUGCCCACGUUGACUGGGGGACACAGCGCCCUUCCUGCAGCAUCCCGAGGUUACAGCUGGGGACAUCGGGCUCCUGAGGCUGAAGACUGCUGGACAUGGAGGGCGAGUGUGGGUCCCUCUGAACUCCUUGGUGCGACGCUGAAGUUACAGAGGACGUCUGUGACCCAGGUUUCCUGAGCAGUGUGGGUGCAGCAGCAGCACCAGCUUUCAGCAUCCUGGGCUUUGUGUGUCCGGGUCCACUGCUGCUUCGGAGAGACAGGGAAGAUUAAAAAUACAA